rnacentral:rRNA from 1 species
UACGGAGGGGGCGAGCGUUAUUCGGAAUUAUUGGGCGUAAAGGGCGCGUAGGCGGCUGUACAAGUUAAAGGUGAAAUCCCUCGGCUCAACUGAGGAACUGCCUUUGAAACUGUACGGCUUGAGGCCGGGAGGGGGUAGCGGAAUUCCCAGUGUAGCGGUGAAAUGCGUAGAUACUGGGAGGAACACCAGUGGCGAAGGCGACUACCUGGCCUGCUCUUGACGCUGAGGCGCGAAAGCUAGGGGAGCAAACGGG